GCCCCCGGAAGCGGGUCUGGAGCCGGUGAGUCGGCGCCGGCGGGCUAGCGCGGCGUGGGUGCGAUCGGGUCAUGGAGGAAGAGCGGAAGUUCUCGGAUAUUUGCGGCGGCCGCCUGGCCCUGCAGCGCCGCUACUACUCCCCGUCCUGCCGGGAAUUCUGCCUCAGCUGCCCUCGGCUCUCCCUGCGCUCGCUCACGGCUGUCACCUGCACCGUGUGGCUGGCGGCCUACGGCCUCUUCACACUCUGCGAGAACAGCAUGAUCCUCUCUGCUGCCAUCUUCAUUACCCUCUUAGGCCUGCUUGGUUACCUCCAUUUUGUGAAGAUUGAUCAGGAGACUCUGCUAAUCAUUGAUUCCCUUGGCAUCCAGAUGACUUCAUCCUAUGCUUCAGGCAAAGAAACCACUACUUUUAUAGAGAUGAACAAGGUCAAGGAUCUUGUCAUUAAUGAGGCUAUUUACAUGCAAAAGGUGAUUUACUACCUGUGCAUUUUAUUGAAAGAUCCAGUGGAACCACAUGAGAUAUCCCAAGUAGUACCUGUCUUCCAGAGUUCCAAGCCCCGGCUGGACUGCUUGAUUGAAGUGUACAGGAGCUGCCAGGAGAUCCUGGCACAUGAGAAAGCCACGUCAAGAAGUCCGUGAGUUCCAGCAUUCAAAAAGCCAGUAUUGUCUUCCGUGGGAGAUGACUGCUGAGCCAUAGUGGCUGGCUUAUGUCUGUACUCUGAACCAUCCGGUGGACACAGUCCUAGGAACCGUAUGGAUGUAGUGGAUCUCAGAGCCAUAGAGCAGAGCUCUGGUCUGCAAUGGACUUAAUCACCAGCAUGAAGUCAUCCCUGCAGCCACCAAAGGUCAUCACUGAAGAGUAGGGGUAAGUGACGUGCACUUGCUGUGGAAAGGAACCGGUUAGUUCUGGGGAAACUUUCCACCUAUCCCCUGAGCUAAGAACCAGCAUUCCCUGUCUUUUGUAGGCACAGGUAGCCUUAACCAAGAAGGGAGAACUCUGAACUGGUCAUAAUUUGGAGAUAUCCAUCUUGAAUGGCUACAAGCUUUGUCUAGACUAGAGGACGGCAACUUGGGUGGGGGUAGGGAAACCAUGGUCACUUAGCUCAGGCCUUUGAGUCCAGAGAGGAGAAGAAAAGACAGUGUUCAGGAGGAGGAGGGUCAGGGAGCCAGCCCUCACCCUGCCGUACCAUAGUGUUGUGGUCCAGGAUGCUGACACCAUCCUCAUUCACUGCAACCCACAGCAGAGUGUUUUCCUUGGAAGACACCUGGGCAGGCUGGGGAAACAGGAAAAUCCCAUCAGUCAUAUCCACAGAGAUUCUGAACUAUAAGGACUUGAUGAGAGGGCACAUCUGUGGAUCUGAAGAUGGUAUUUUUACCGUGUACACAGUAAACAGACAAGGCUGCUUGUGUCAGGAGGCAUCUGGCCUUGGGGGUCUGGCCACCUACUAACCAUCCCAAGGGCAGAGGGGAUCACCCUGGUGGCAUACCUAGAACCCAUGCUGCCACAGUACACUGGAUGGAAAGCUCUGUGCUACAGAAUAUAGGCCAGCCCUGGCUGCUCUGUCAUGGGCAUAGGGAAUAGGCUUUUUCCUAGCUCUCAGAAACAUAGCAUUCCAUCCACCCAGAGUCUCCCAGCUGAAGUGCAUGUGCUUCAACCAUUUUCCUGGGGACUGUAAAAGAAAUAGGAAAGCAAUAACGCAAUCUU